rnacentral:rRNA from 1 species
AACCGAGAACUCCUACGGGAGGCAGCAGUGGGGAAUUUUGGACAAUGGGCGAAAGCCUGAUCCAGCAAUGCCGCGUGCAGGAUGAAGGCCUUCGGGUUGUAAACUGCUUUUGUACGGAACGAAAAGUCUCGGGAUAAUACCCUGGGACCAUGACGGUACCGUAAGAAUAAGCACCGGCUAACUACGUGCCAGCAGCCGCGGUAAUACGUAGGGUGCAAGCGUUAAUCGGAAUUACUGGGCGUAAAGCGUGCGCAGGCGGUUAUAUAAGACAGAUGUGAAAUCCCCGGGCUCAACCUGGGAACUGCAUUUGUGACUGUAUAGCUAGAGUACGGUAGAGGGGGAUGGAAUUCCGCGUGUAGCAGUGAAAUGCGUAGAUAUGCGGAGGAACACCGAUGGCGAAGGCAAUCCCCUGGACCUGUACUGACGCUCAUGCACGAAAGCGUGGGGAGCAAACAGGAUUAGAAACCCGGGUAGUCCGACUGAGA